UACUAAUAAACCAGCUAUCGCUUCUGGUCGUCCGUUGUGGUUGUUUUGCAAAAAAGCCCCUCGAUUUACAGGAAAUCAACCCGCGGUCCCUGUUUUAGUGGCACCCAGAAAAAACGUUUCACUUUUACAAACAAAACCCUAUAGGCAUUUCAAUUCAGUCCGCAAUCCUUUCCUUCCUCUUAUCCACUCUGCGCCGGCGGCUACGCCCAUUCCGUCGUGCGCCGGCGGCCGCCGUGCGCCGGCGGCCGCCGUGCCUGGCACCGGAGGAUGGAGUGCGCUCGCCGGGAGGAUGGACGGCGCGGAGAGGCGCGCUCGAGCCUGAGCUCCUGUGCCCGCGCCUCGCGCCUCCUUGCACCGCUCCGGCGGCCUCACUCGCCACACGCCGUCGCCGGCGACCACAAGCAGCGACCGUCGCACCUCUCUGCGCGCCACCCCGAAGCCCCAGGCACGCCGCGCUGCCGUCCCCCGCAACCCCGGCCUCCUCCUCGACCUCGCCUCUCCGUGCGAACAAACGACGUCGCCGGCGGCGGCCUCGGCCACCAUGCUUGAGCUGACGAGCGCCGACCGCACGGGGCUCAUCUCCGAGGUGUUCGACGUGCUAGACGACAUGAGCUGCAGUGUCGUCGAUGCCAGGGCGUGGUCCGCAUCGUGGCCGCCUCGCCUGCCUCGUCUACCUGCGGGACGAGGAUGUUGCCGCAGCCGUUGUGGAGCACAUCGAGGCCCGCCUCGCCUCCCUCCUCCGCGGAGACUCGGAAGCCAGCAGCGGCGCCGUGGCUGCCGUCCCCGCCGGCUCCAUCCCGCACGCCAACCGGCGCCUCCACCAUCUCAUGUAUGCCAGCGGCGACCAGGAGCACGCGUUCCCAACUCCCACGGUGCGUGCUCAUGGAUCUCGAGCCCGACACCAUGGGCUCCGUGCACAAGGGGCCCUACGGCCAGAUCUUCCGCCCCGACAACUUUGUCUUCGGCCAGUCCGGCGCCGGCAACAACUAGGCCAAGGGCCACUACACCAAGGGCGGGGAGCUCAUCGACUCCGUCCUCGACGUCGUCCGCGAGGAGGCCGAGAAUUGCGCUGCCUCCAAGGUGUGCCACUCCCUCGGCGGGGGCACCGGUUCCAAGAUCAGGGAGUAGUACCCGGGCCAGAUGAUGCUCACCUUCUCCGUGUUCCCAUCUCCAAAGGUCUCUGACACAGUGGUCGAGCCCUACAACGUCACUCUCUCGGUUCACUGGCUGGUGGAGAACGCCGACGAGUGCAUGGUGCUGGACAACAAGGCGCUCUACGACAUUUGCUUCCGCACCCUCAAGCUGACCACACCUAGCUUAGGUGGUGGAAUGAGGACACUCUCCAAGAGAACUUCUUAACACCAGACAUCUGGGUGAUAAAGAAGACCCCUCUUGGAAAAUUGGACCAGGAUAUGUGGGUGUGAUCCAGAAUUUUAUGCCUGUCAGGGCUAACUUGCACCUCCAUCCCUACGCCCCUUUGAUUACAUUUGCAAUUCAAUAUGCAAAUAAGCUGGAUGCUUGGAUGCCCGUGGUGAGUGAAGUAUGGCUUUAGUCUAUCGGUUAAGCUGACUAACUGUUUCAAAAUCUUGAACUAAUGUUUUUUGUGACACCUGAACUGAAGUUGGUCAUGCUAACAAAACCUUCAACUUAUUAGAACAGAAAUUGUAACAACAGUUUAGCUUAUUGUUCUGUGAAGUAACUACUGUUGUACCAGGAAAUUUUGUGCACGUGCAUUCAAUUACAGGUUAUCCGAGCCUGCUUGCACUUGCAACUGAUCAAUGCCGAUCCAGUUGUUCUCAGGAUAGAUAAAAAUCAGUUCUUGUUCAUUAUAGAGGGCAUCCAACAUAAAUAAGAUUUUUAAAUCUGACAAAACAUUUUUAUUGUACAAUUCAGUCUGAAAGAUAAGAGCAAACUUAUCUGCCACUAUAGAGGGAAUCAAACGUAAAAUAGGUGACAUGCAGAUAUUGACAUACGAUUACAUUUUUAUGGCAUUACUAAUCCAGUUAUGGUUCCAUUGUUGUCGCACACCGAACGUUCAAUGAAUUUCUUGAAGAAAAUGUGUGGAGUCUUUUGUUGUCUGCUUCAACCAGGGAGGUAACUACAUUUCUUCCGUUGCUGAAAAAGCUGAGGUGAAUUCUAUGACAGUGAGGGUUGAUGAUAGGAGCACAAGUAAUUCUGAUGAAAUAAUCAUCACGUACGGACAUCACUCUAUACUCCUUCCGUUACAUAAUACUUGUCGUGGUUUUAGUUCAACAUUGCAUAACCUUCUGGUUUUCCUGAGGUACUGCUCAGUAACUUUUUUUACCUCAUGCAUACAAAGAUAGAACAAGAGUCACUGGAUUAAGAAUUCGAACUUUCAGAAGUUCAAAAAACAAAUCUGCAUAGUCUGUGGAUGGGGAUGGAAGGAAAGAAUUGUGAUUCUAAUGUGCCAUUGACAGUGGCGGGCAUUAAUUGGGGAGGCGGAGAUAGCAGCUUGACAUGCAUGAUGUUUGAUUAGAAUCGUGUUUACUUGGUGAUGCUUUUAGUUUGCUAGAACUUUUUAGCCUGAAAGAAUGCAAAAUGCAUAUACACUGGGAUUAGGAAUCCAUUAAGUUAUCUUAGUUUCUCUUUCUGGUUUGAGUUUAGUAUUAUUUUUUCUUCUUCAUGCAUUUAAUUUGCUGUGCAGGUGUCUUAGAUAAGAUGCUAUAAGGAUUACAUAACUUUCUUUACCAAUCACAGUACCGACGGUGGCAGGCCAUGCUUUCUAUCUGCAGUUCUCCAACUAAAAGUCUAACUGCAGGAGUAUGUAGAAUCUUCUUUACUUAACUAGCUUAUACUCACGGACAUAUCGUGAAGCACAAGCAGCCUUGCAACCACAAACCUUGCAGACUUCUCUUUUCAUAUCCAAACUUUGCAAACAUUUCAUUCAUGUUUUUAAACUUAUUCUACGUUUGUUUUAGUGCACCAAGAAAAAAUAAAUUUGUGACCAUUUGUGCUUAUCUACUACUGCUUUGAGUUUUUUUUCUUCUUUAAAGGUUUGAUAGUAUAUGUGUAGAUUUUUAACUAUUUUUGUUACUAUUACAAAUUUAGUUACAUUUCUCAAAAUAAAAGAAAAUACUAAAUUUGUAUGAACAUAUAGAUCUUAUGAAAUUUGAUUUCAUGGUAAUUUAGUUACAUAAAUUAUUAAACUCUCAAAGAGUAUGUAUAUGCAACAAUCACAAUGUAUGUUUCUCUCGAAAAGCGAUAAUUCAACCAGUGGCAACACAAAGGCAUGUUCACCUUAUAGAGAAUGAGGAUAACAUUGUUUCCGACGUUUGUCAGAAUUGGAUAUAAGAAGUGGCACGUGGAGCAGGAUUUGCGUUUUUUUUCGCCCGGUGCAACGCACGGGCAUUUGUACUAGUAGUAUAUAUAUAUAUUAUAUAUAUAUAUAUAUAUAUAAUAUAUAUAUUUGUUUUGCAAAAAAGCCCCUUCGGUUACAGGAAAUCAACCCGCAGUCCCUGUUUUAGUAGGUAUCUGGGAAAACGAUUCAUUUUUACAAAUAAACCCUUACACGUUUUUGUAUUCAACCCGCGCUCCUUUAUUUAUUUAGAAGAAAAAGGCUUCCUCUUAUCUGGCGAGCGAGGUCGAGGCUGGCCGCGAUGCAGACGACGCCGGGCGCGGAGGCGGCUAUCUCCGGCCAGAUCCGGUCGAGGAGGCGCGGCAGGGGCCGGAUCCUGUUCCGGCGACGGCGGGAUGCGAUCUACGAGGCGCAUGAGGAGGUCCAAUGGUGGGGCUUCAAUUCCAAGUUCAUCGCGGCGGCGUUCCUCACCGGUACUGAGCGAGAUGGCUAGCUCCGGCGAAGUCUCUCCAUCGAUACGGUGGCUCUGUACCUGUGAGAGACACAUAGGUGAGGGGAGAGGCAGGGAGGAGAGGGUGAGGAGCGGCGGGGAAGUCUUGGUGGUGCCCGCCUCCUACAGCAGCCCUCGUGAGUGCGGCCAAAGAGAGAGAGAUGAGAGAGAGCCAGGAGGAAGAAGGAAAGGAAGGAGACUUCAGGAAGGGGCGGCGGGAUCCUGCGGUGCUGGGUUCGAGCUCCGUUGGUGGUGCUACUGCUGCUGUUGGACAAUGGCCGAUGGGACUUGGUAAGAGGAAAACAUGUGCUGUGUUGGCACGUUUGAUGCAAAGCAGCCACCGUAAGUCCUUCUCCCUUCUCUGAUUAAUAUUGGGAUUCCAUUGCUAUUUGAUGGAGAGCAGCCACCAAAAAUUCCUCUCUUGAUGCAACGCUCCCUCCCUCCCUCCCUCCCUCUCGAAUCUGAUUCAUCACAAGAAUAUCAACAGACAACAUCCUACCUCCAGAAUGUUUGGGGCCCCUAGGUAUUUGACUGAAUAGCACGGGCUCGCGUGUGUAUGUCACCAUGACAAUACUACACUUCAAGAUUUCAUAAGUUUAAUUAUCUUUUGUGCAGAUAAGGAUGGCAGUAGAAGAGCUUGACGACAAUGAAUGACAACCAUAUGGAUAUUUUUUUAGUAGCCAAUGAAUAUAGGCCAGUGAGCCAUGGAUUUUGGUUUGCUCUUUUUCUCCUUUAUGUGAUGAGGCAAGGAACAUGCUAAAGGGGAUAUUGUCAAUGCUGCAUAAUUAUGUUGUUCUGGAAUUGCUUGAGGCUGUACAGUUUAGAUGUCCAGACACUUCAAUGAAAUACUCUCAGUUGCUUUCAAAUCUGAGAGUUGGAUGGAAGCUUGAAGAGAUCCUAUAGAAUUCUGCAACAUCUGAAUUUGGUGGUGUAUAUUUUUUUCGGAGAGAGGUGAUCGACUGAUUGAUCUGGAUGCGUUCCAUCAAAAUCUUAUCCAAGUUGCGUGGUCAGCCCUGUUCAUAUUGGGUUUUGAGAUUAUUAUGUUCUUCAGAUUGCUUAUUUUGAAGUUCAGAUGUCACAAAAACUGCACAUGAUUGAGCGAGUCUAAGAAAGAAGAGCUAAAAGAAUCGUUCCAUCAUAUGCUGAAAUGGGCCCGGAGAUAUAACAAAAAUCUUGAAAUAGGAAGCCCAGCUUCACAUGUUAACUAGCUGGUCUGAAAUUCUUCAAAUGAGUUGUGUGUGUGCAUGACCACUUAAUCUUUUCAGUUGGAAAUUGGAUAUAGUAACCCGCUUGUUGUUAAUUUCAGCUAGCUGUAUCAAGAAGGAUGUCAUUGCUUGAGGAUCGUUCACAGUUAUUGUUUGAAGUCGACGACAAGUGCUAUCAUCAUGAGGCCAGACAAGUCGUUGUGCCAAUCCAAUGAGUUUCCAACAACGGAAAGUCAUCCGAAGAAUCAUGUCCCGGUGAGUAGUCCAGCUCCAGCAACAAGACCACAUCUGGUUUUCACCAAGAAGCUGGACCAGAGGCAUUGUACUCAGGACAAGUGUACUGAGGAAUAAGUAUGCAGAGAAGCUUUGAUUCAUCAUCAUCUACAUAUACUUAGAAUAUAACUCACAAGAAAAGCAAAAGCAAAAUGAUUGAAAAUCUAUUCUAUGCAAAACAACUCUUCCAUCAGAUGAAGAAUGACAUGUUGGCUUCUUCGCGUCCGAACUUGAAGGGGUUAUGUAUUGCUAUACAGUGAACGGAACUACCAGUUUGCAUUAAGAUGGACUCAUUUUCAGCGGUGAAUAUUCUGAAUGGGAGGGACAUGGACAGGUCUGUGUAUGCUUCUUUGGUGGCGGAGAUCAAGCAUUUGAAGUCUCUUCGUAUGGCCCGUAUUACUUAUAUCAGCUGUUCUCAAAAUGUAGUUAGUGAUAUUUUAGCAAGUUUUGCAAAAACUGAAAGGAGAACUAUAGUCUGGCUCGGCUCCGCCCCCUCGAGGUCGAUGAUUUGUGUAAGGACGAGUGUAAGGUUGCUGCUUGAGUAAUACAAGUUUAUACUUUUUUUGCA